AGCGCAGGCGGGAAGACAAGUUGGAAGUGAAAUCCAUGGGCUCAACCCAUGAACUGCUUUCAAAACUGUUUUUCUUGAGUAGUGCAGAGGUAGGCGGAAUUCCCGGUGUAGCGGUGGAAUGCGUAGAUAUCGGGAGGAACACCAGUGGCGAAGGCGGCCUACUGGGCACCAACUGACGCUGAGGCUCGAAAGUGUGGGGAGCGAACA
rnacentral:rRNA from 1 species